rnacentral:rRNA from 1 species
UGAGGAAUAUUGGUCAAUGGGCGUAAGCCUGAACCAGCCAAGUCGCGUGAGGGAAGACGGUCCUACGGAUUGUAAACCUCUUUUGCCGGGGAGCAACGGGGUCCUUGCGAGGGCCUUAUGAGAGUACCCGGAGAAAAAGCAUCGGCUAACUCCGUGCCAGCAGCCGCGGUAAUACGGAGGAUGCGAGCGUUAUCCGGAUUUAUUGGGUUUAAAGGGUGCGUAGGCGGGCUGUUAAGUCAGCGGUCAAAUGUCGGGGCUCAACCCCGGCCUGCCGUUGAAACUGGCGGCCUCGAGUGGGCGAGAAGUAUGCGGAAUGCGUGGUGUAGCGGUGAAAUGCAUAGAUAUCACGCAGAACUCCGAUUGCGAAGGCAGCAUACCGGCGCCCGACUGACGCUGAGGCACGAAAGCGUGGGUAUCGAACAGG